rnacentral:lncRNA from 1 species
GGCAAGGCAGGCUUCUCCACAGUCAUUUUGCUUGGACAGCAAACUAGCCAGCACCAUUCUUGACUUCAAUGAUGUCAUUGCGAAAUGCUGGCCUUUUUGUUGUUUUUUUUUUGCCAGGAAGUUGGCAAGUAGGCUCUUUACUGGCUUCAUCAGAAUGGAAAUGAAACUUAGGAUGGCCGCUGUUCACUUUGCUGUCUAUUUAACCAUUUAUGGUGAGUAUUAGAACACACCUUUGCAAAUAUUAA